rnacentral:rRNA from 1 species
UACGAAGGGUGCAAGCGUUACUCGGAAUUACUGGGCGUAAAGCGUGCGUAGGUGGUUUGUUAAGUCUGUUGUGAAAGCCCCGGGCUCAACCUGGGAAUGGCAAUGGAUACUGGCAGGCUAGAGUGCGGUAGAGGGUAGUGGAAUUCCCGGUGUAGCGGUGAAAUGCGUAGAGAUCGGGAGGAACACCAGUGGCGAAGGCGGCUACCUGGGCCUUACCUGACGCUGAGGAGCGAAAGCGUGGGGAGCGAACAGG